rnacentral:rRNA from 1 species
UGGGGAAUAUUGCACAAUGGGGGAAACCCUGAUGCAGCGACGCCGCGUGAGCGAAGAAGUAUUUCGGUAUGUAAAGCUCUAUCAGCAGGGAAGAAAAUGACGGUACCUGACUAAGAAGCCCCGGCUAACUACGUGCCAGCAGCCGCGGUAAUACGUAGGGGGCAAGCGUUAUCCGGAUUUACUGGGUGUAAAGGGAGCGUAGACGGCUCUGCAAGUCUGGAGUGAAAACCCGGGGCUCAACCCUGGGACUGCUUUGGAAACUGUGGAGCUUGAGUACCGGAGGGGUAAGCGGAAUUCCUAGUGUAGCGGUGAAAUGCGUAGAUAUUAGGAGGAACACCAGUGGCGAAGGCGGCUUACUGGACGGUAACUGACGUUGAGGCUCGAAAGCGUGGGGAGCAAACA